GCAUACGUCCUACGGGAGAAAGCACGGGGAUCGUUCGGACCUUGCGCUAUCAGAUGAGCCCAGGUCGGAUUAGCUUGUGGUGAGGUAAUGGCUCACCAAGGCCGCGAUCCGUAACUGGUCUGAGAGGAUGAUCAGUCACACUGGAACUGAGACACGGUCCAGACUCCUACGGGAGGCAGCAGUGGGGAAUAUUGGACAAUGGGCGAAAGCCUGAUCCAGCCAUACCGCGUGUGUGAAGAAGGUCUUAGGAUUGUAAAGCACUUUAAGUUGGGAGGAAGGGUUGUAGCCUAAUACGCUGUAACCUUGACGUUACCGACAGAAUAAGCACCGGCUAACUCUGUGCCAGCAGCCGCGGUAAUACAGAGGGUGCAAGCGUUAAUCGGAAUUACUGGGCGUAAAGCGCGCGUAGGUGGUUCAGUAAGAUGGGUGUGAAAUCCCCGGGCUCAACCUGGGAACUGCUUUCAUAACUGCUGAACUAGAGUACGGUAGAGGGUAGUGGAAUUUCCUGUGUAGCGGUGAAAUGCGUAGAUAUAGGAAGGAACACCAGUGGCGAAGGCGACUACCUGGACUGAUACUGACACUGAGGUGCGAAAGCGUGGGGAGCAAACAGGAUUAGAUACCCUGGUAGUCCACGCCGUAAACGAUGUCAACUAGCCGUUGGGAACCUUGAGUUCUUAGUGGCGCAGCUAACGCACUAAGUUGACCGCCUGGGGAGUACGGUCGCAAGAUU
rnacentral:rRNA from 1 species